CACUAUUUGACUUUCUUUUGAAGGGGCUGUGGACAUAGGCGAAAUAUCAUGGGUGGUAGGGGAAGUAAAUUUAAAAGAUCCUUUUGUAAUGUAUAAAGUUAAUUGGCCAAACAAGGGAAGGAUUGUGUCAUGUCCAGGACGGAUUAUAUCAGUCAGUGGUAAGUAACACAAGUUUUUUCUCCUUUGACUAUGUUUAUGUAAAAUAUGUGCAUAACUACAUACAUAUGGUAAUAUUUCAAAUAUCAAGGUAAACGUUUUCGUUUCAAAAACGUUGUUAAUUGUUAAGCUCGCAACGGUAGGCACGAUAAGGCCCCCUAGCUCGCGGCCUAUAAUGUGAGGCGCGGGAAGUGUGGGGGAAGUGUGGGGUGCGCGGCCUGGAUUUAUAGAGAGAAACUUUAUUUUGCCCAAAAUAAUACUAGCAUUUUAAACACACAUUAUGAAAACGUCAUAAUUUUGACGUUUUCAGACAACAGAGAGGAGUUGGUUUGCAAGAGGAGGCAUUAUCUUGAUGGUGGAGACAAACUGUCGAGCCCGGAGGAGAAAGGGAAGGGGAAAAGGAAGAAACUGAAGAAUGGUCGAUAUUCUGACGACGACGACGUAUCGCUGGUAGGUAACUAAAGUUUUAUUACAGAAAUGUCAUCUAUAGGCCUUGUGGAUGAGUUAAAUUAAAAUCGUUGAAAAACUAAACUUUAUUAUGAUUUAAAGGAUCCUCAGUUAAGUCAAUGUAAGAAGAAGAAGAAGAGAAAAAACACAGGUCUUAACGUCUUAAUGGAACUGGAAACGCAAGGAUCAUGUCAGCUGAACUCAAUUAAUGAAACCAGGAAUGAAGUAAGAUCCACUAAUGCAAUAAACUGUCUGCACUUAAUGUUCUACCUACAAUUAAAGUUUUUAUUUCCUAACUCUAUAGUAUAGGGAUAGAUACAGCAAUAUAUUCCUGUAAUCUAUCAGCUGUAAGCUUUGUACCCUCUAACUGGCUUCUGUAGGUAUUUGCCCAGGUGUAUGUGAGUCAGUUUUGUUUUUUUAAUGGAAUUUUUAUUUUCAGUGCCAUCACCCAUCUUGUGAGCUGUUGAGGGAGAACAACCACAGGCUGCAGAGGGAAAAUGAUUCUCUCAAGGUAAAAAUAGCAACAUUGAAAUUGCUGCCAGACGUUUUGCAGAAGAUGGAGGAGUUUCUUCGCUCAGCACCAAGACCAACGACAACACCAAUACCAACACCAAGACCAAGACCAAGACCAGAACCAACACUAUCACCAGCACCAACAGCAGUUCCACCACCAGCAACAGAAGACCCAUCACCAGCUCCAGGUCC